CCCCCUGUAGCUCAACGGAAGAGCACUGCGCACCCUUUCCCCCACGGCGAUCGAAGAAUCGCCCGCGCAGAGGUCUUGGUUCGACUCCAGGCAGGGGGG
rnacentral:tRNA from 1 species